rnacentral:rRNA from 1 species
GAUGAACGCUAGCUACAGGCUUAACACAUGCAAGUCGAGGGGCAGCAUGGUCUUAGCUUGCUAAGGCCGAUGGCGACCGGCGCACGGGUGAGUAACACGUAUCCAACCUGCCGUCUACUCUUGGACAGCCUUCUGAAAGGAAGAUUAAUACAAGAUGGCAUCAUGAGUCCGCAUGUUCACAUGAUUAAAGGUAUUCCGGUAGACGAUGGGGAUGCGUUCCAUUAGAUAGUAGGCGGGGUAACGGCCCACCUAGUCUUAGAUGGAUAGGGGUUCUGAGAGGAAGGUCCCCCACAUUGGAACUGAGACACGGUCCAAACUCCUACGGGAGGCAGCAGUGAGGAAUAUUGGUCAAUGGGCGCAGGCCUGAACCAGCCAAGUAGCGUGAAGGAUGACUGCCCUAGGGGUUGUAAACUUCUUUUAUAAAGGAAUAAAGUCGGGUAUGUAUACCCGUUUGCAUGUACUUUAUGAAUAAGGAUCGGCUAACUCCGUG